GAUGAACGCUGGCGGCGUGCCUAAUACAUGCAAGUCGAGCGAACGGACGAGAAGCUUGCUUCUCUGAUGUUAGCGGCGGACGGGUGAGUAACACGUGGAUAACCUACCUAUAAGACUGGGAUAACUUCGGGAAACCGGAGCUAAUACCGGAUAAUAUUUUGAACCGCAUGGUUCAAAAGUGAAAGACGGUCUUGCUGUCACUUAUAGAUGGAUCCGCGCUGCAUUAGCUAGUUGGUAAGGUAACGGCUUACCAAGGCAACGAUGCAUAGCCGACCUGAGAGGGUGAUCGGCCACACUGGAACUGAGACACGGUCCAGACUCCUACGGGAGGCAGCGGUAGGGAAUCUUCCGCAAUGGGCGAAUGCCUGACGGAGCAACGCCGCGUGAGUGAUGAAGGUCUUCUGAUCGUAAAACUCUGUUAUUAGGGAAGAACAUAUGUGUAAGUAACUGUGCACAUCUUGACGGUACCUAAUCAGAAAGCCCCGGCUAACUACGUG
rnacentral:rRNA from 1 species